rnacentral:rRNA from 1 species
CACGUAGGCGGUUUUUUAAGUCAGAUGUGAAAGGUACCGGCUCAACCGGUGACAUGCAUUUGAAACUGAAAGACUUGAGUAUUGGAGAGGCAAGUGGAAUUCCUAGUGUAGCGGUGAAAUGCGUAGAUAUUAGGAGGAACACCGGUGGCGAAGGCGGCUUGCUGGACAAAUACUGACGCUGAGGUGCGAAAGCGUGGGGAGCAAACA